AGAGUUUGAUCCUGGCUCAGGACGAACGCUGGCGGCGUGCUUAACACAUGCAAGUCAAGGGGGCCCAGCAAUGGGCAACCGGCGAACGGGUGCGUAACACGUGAGCAAUCUGCCGUUCUUGUGGGGGAUAGCCGGCCCAACGGCCGGGUAAUACCGCAUACGCUCUGCUGGAGACAUCUCCUACAGAGGAAACCCUUCGGGGGCAAGACGAGGAGCUCGCGGCCUAUCAGCUAGUUGGUGGGGUCAAGGCCCACCAAGGCGACGACGGGUAGCUGGUCUGAGAGGAUGGCCAGCCACAUUGGGACUGAGAGACGGCCCAGACUCCUACGGGAGGCAGCAGUGGGGAAUCUUGCGCAAUGGGCGAAAGCCUGACGCAGCGACGCCGCGUGAGGGAUGACGGCCUUCGGGUUGUAAACCUCUUUCAGCUCCGACGAAGCGAAAGUGACGGUAGGAGCAGAAGAAGCACCGGCCAACUACGUGCCAGCAGCCGCGGUAAUACGUAGGGUGCAAGCGUUGUCCGGAAUUAUUGGGCGUAAAGAGCUCGUAGGCGGUCUGUCGCGUCGGCUGUGAAAACUUGGGGCUCAACUCCGAGCUUGCAGUCGAUACGGGCAGGCUAGAGUUCGGCAGGGGAGACUGGAAUUCCUGGUGUAGCGGUGAAAUGCGCAGAUAUCAGGAGGAACACCGGUGGCGAAGGCGGGUCUCUGGGCCGAUACUGACGCUGAGGAGCGAAAGCGUGGGGAGCGAACAGGAUUAGAUACCCCCGUAGUCC
rnacentral:rRNA from 1 species